rnacentral:misc_RNA from 1 species
AAAAAUUAAUUACAUUUGGCCCCAAAAAAAAAAAAAAUAACUGGCUACUGCAGAUCAGGAGCCACGAGGCAUUACACAAGUAACUGCUUCUCCCUCUCUUCCUUACAGGCCACACACGCACAUGCUCUUUCACCUCUCUAUUUCUCUUUGUUCCUCUCCUCAUUGCUUUCAUUGCUUUGGCCUUAGGAUUUAGAUUCCUCUCUGUCUCUUUCUCUUCAAUUCUCUCUUCUUUUGAGAAUUCAGUUUCCUCCAUUGCAGCUCUUUACCCAAUCAAAACCUGUCUCUGCUUCAACUCCUUCCUUUCUUGCCCUUUAUAAAGGCCUCAGUCUCAAUUUUACUUCAUUCAAUCUUCAAACGCUAUCGGAGAGCAGAGAAGCUUCUCUCUCUUCCCAUCCAUCAAUGGUGUUUCGUUCCGUCUCCCAGACCCAAACUUCACCUCAUACUGACGCUACUGAAUUCACAGCCAUGGCUUCUUCAACUCUUAAAUCUC